GAAAUGCGAUAAGUAAUGUGAAUUGCAGAAUUCAGUGAAUCAUCGAAUCUUUGAACGCACAUUGCGCCCGCCAGUAUUCUGGGGGGCAUGCCUGUCCGAGCGUCAUUUCAACCAUCAAGCCCCCGGGCUUGUGUUGGGGACCUGCGGCUGCCCGCAGGCCCUGAAAACCAGUGGCGGGCUCGCUGUCACACCGAGCGUAGUAGCAAUCACCUCGCUCAGGGCGUGCUGCGGGUUCCGGCCGUUAAACAGCCUUACAAAACCCAAGGUUGACCUCGGAUCAGGUAGGAAGACCCGCUGAACUUAAGC
rnacentral:misc_RNA from 1 species